UGAUUUUGGACAAAGUCUUUUGACUUUCCAAAGUGCAAACUUCAUGUAAGUCCUGACAUUUUUUUGAAUGUUCAUUUUCUCCAUUCUUUAUGUAAACAGCAUUACAAACAUCUUGCUAAAACGGUUACGUGGAAAACGCCUUCAGAUUUUAAAUAGCAUGAUAUUGUUCUCUUAUCAGGAUGAAUUCAGAUUAUAUUGAAGGGCACAUGGAGUAUAUCAUCCAGGAAAAUGAAAGUGGUGAGUUUUUGUAAAUUCACUUGUAGCCUGUGGUAGAUUUAUUUUCUCUUAUAUAAUGAAAUGCAUAUGUUGUAUUGGACAUGAAGCAUGAGUUUCGUUUGCAUGAAUAACCCUUUUAUUAUAAUCUCUUGACGUGAUUUGUUGGUUUAGCAGGUAUGAUCAGUACCACUACGGUGACCCUGUUUCCAGCUUUAAUCAAACCUCAAGUCAACAUAGUGGGGUCAGCUCUCAUCUACGCUUAUCUGGUCUUCAACUCUUCCACACCCAUCACCAGUGAGACCGCAGCAGUUAAUACUACACGCACACUUCUGUUGUCUUUGUCUGCAAACUUCUAUCAAACAAUUCAGGUGGAGAAUGUGACAUAUGAACAAAGUUCAGAGACCUCAUAUGCAGUUAUUAUCAGCUUAAGGCUAAGCAAUGUCAGCAUGCCAGAGUUAAGUGAAUCUGCAAAUGACACAUAUAACCAAAUUCAGAAUACUAUUAACAACAUGGUAAGUACAGUUUAA
rnacentral:lncRNA from 1 species